rnacentral:rRNA from 1 species
CCUUGGGAUCAAAAAAAGGCAUUCCCAUUAGAGUUUGAUCUUGGCUCAGGAUGAACGCUAGCGGGAUGCCUAACACAUGCAAGUCGAACGGGAUUGGUAGCAAUACCAUGAGCGUGGCGCACGGGUGAGUAACGCGNAUGCAACCUGCCAAUAACAGAGGGAUAGCCCAAAGAAAUGUGGAUUAAUACCUCAUAGUCCUUUAGUUUGGCAUGGAAUUGAAGGUAAAACUCCGGUGGUUAUAGAUGGGCAUGCGUGACAUUAGNUAGUUGGUGAGGUAACGGCUCACCAAGGUGACGAUGUCUAGGGGUUCUGAGAGGAAGAUCCCCCCACACAGGUACUGAGACACGGACAGACUCGUACGGGAGGCAGCAGUGAGGAUUAUUGGUCAAUGGGCGCAAGCCUGAACCAGGGCAUCCCGCGUGCAGGAUGACGGCCCUAUGGGAUGUAAACGCUUNUGUACAGGAAGAAUAAUCCCGAUGUAUCUGGACUUGCCGNUACGC